AUGCAGGCAUACAAUUUGAACGGUAAAUGGCAGUUUAAACCUUACAAGAGCUUUAGGAAACUUACCUAUGGGACUGUUUGUCAAGUCAACAAUUGGCAGAUUUUGUUCAUGAACAACUGUUCAGUUAUGAAGUGUACUUAUGAGGUUUUGAGAAUGACAUGGAUUAUGAACUCGCCUUAUGUUGUAACGAAUUCAACAUCGAGAAGUUGA